rnacentral:rRNA from 1 species
GUGUCAGCCGCCGCGGUAAUACGUAGGGGGCAAGCGUUGUCCGGAAUCAUUGGGCGUAAAGCGAGCGUAGGCGGCCCGAUAAGUCUGCUGUGAAAGUCAACGGCUCAACCGUUGAAAGCCGGUGGAUACUGUCGGGCUAGAGUUCGGAAGAGGCAAGUGGAAUUCCUGGUGUAGCGGUGGAAUGCGCAGAUAUCAGGAGGAACACCCAUAGCGAAGGCAGCUUGCUGGGACGAUACUGACGCUAAGGCUCGAAAGCGUGGGGAGCGAACAGGAUUAGAAACCCGAGUAGUCC